GACGAACGCUGGCGGCGUGCUUAACACAUGCAAGUCGAACGAAGUGGCGAACGGGUGAGUAACGCGUAAUCAACCUGCCCUUCAGAGGGGGACAACAGUUGGACACGACUGCUAAUACCGCAUACUGAAGGAGGGGAUUGCGUCUGAUUGGCUAGUUGGAGGGGGAACGGCCCACCAAGGCGAUGAUCAGUAGCCGGUCUGAGAGGAUGAACGGCCACAUUGGGACUGAGACACGGCCCAGACUCCUACGGGAGGCAGCAGUGGGGAAUCGUCCGCAAUGGACGAAAUUCUGACGGAGCAACGCCGCGUGAGUGAUGACGGCCUUCGGGUUGUAAAGCUCUGUUAAUCGGGACGCGGUACCGGAAGAGAAAGCCACGGCUAACUACGUGCCAGCAGCCGCGGUAAUUC
rnacentral:rRNA from 1 species